rnacentral:rRNA from 1 species
GACGAACGCUGGCGGCGUGCUUAACACAUGCAAGUCGAACGGAAAGGCCCUGCUUUUGUGGGGUGCUCGAGUGGCGAACGGGUGAGUAACACGUGAGUAACCUGCCCUUGACUUUGGGAUAACUUCAGGAAACUGGGGCUAAUACCGGAUAGGAGCUCCUGCUGCAUGGUGGGGGUUGGAAAGUUUCGGCGGUUGGGGAUGGACUCGCGGCUUAUCAGCUUGUUGGUGGGGUAGUGGCUUACCAAGGCUUUGACGGGUAGCCGGCCUGAGAGGGUGACCGGCCACAUGGGGACUGAGAUACGGCCCAGACUCCAACGGGAGGCAGCAGUGGGGAUUGUUGCACAAUGGGCGGAAGCCUGAUGAAACAGCGCCACGUGCGGGAUGACGGCCUUCGGGUUGUAAACCGCGUUCGCCUGUGACGAAGCGUGAGUGACGGUAAUGGAUAAAGAAGCACCGGCUAACUACGUG